UGAUAGCUUUGGCCGAUGUGGAAGGAGCACAUUCGUCUUCGUCAUUUAACGUUGGCACAUCCCAUGGCCAAUUGGAACUCAAUCCUAGGAAUCAUACAGCGUCACUAUACUCGCCAGCUGCUUCACGAACUCUACAAGGUUCUUGGCUUGGGUGUUACAGUAGGAACGAGGAGUUUGUUUAGUUUUUGCAUUUAGCAAGGCGGCCACGCAAAUGAGCAAGGCAGCUCGCAGGGGAAUGGUGAGACUACAUGAACGAAGGCGAGAACCAGUGACCUCGUGACAGCAGCAUUGUCAACGAUCUCCUGGAGGGAUUGACAGGUCUACUCCACUCCUCCGUUGGAAAAAAUCUCGGCAAUUUUGAGCGACCAUCUCGUAACAGGAACGGCUUGAAGAAAUAUCGUGGAGUAUGAGAACCUGAUUGGUCUUAUGGCCCUCUCAAGCUGGAUUGCCUGGGGCGUUCCUGGAAAACAAAAAAUCUGCGAAUAAAUCUCCUCUCCAGGAUAAGCUCCAUAUCCAAAAUCUCUCUCGCACAGACUUCUUCUUGUGCUGUUGCUGUUCCGGCCUCGGGCCGAGAAUUCUUCAUCGUCCCAAACGAGCCUUUUCCACCCA